UCUAUUUGUGUCAUAGCACACAUCAUAUCUCUUAUUCCUCUUAAUUUUUCUACUUAUAUCUCUAAUUGUGAUUGUGAACACAACUUUAAUGGUUGUCUGCCCCAAUUUCUGCCAACCUCACUACGUUCUGCUACCUUUGUUAGUAACUUUUAUUACCUAGAGUUCAUUUUCACUUCAUAUGUUCCCUCAUAUUGUGAUGAUAACUCAAUAGUCAAGGGAUAUGAUGAUACUCCAUGUCAGGUUCAUUGAAUUACAGAUAUCUCUUUUACUUUGUGCCUAAGUUACCAGGUCUGAAACUGAUGGAUGAGGAAGGCCAAGAAGCUUGGAAUUGAAGGAGGGCUUAAAGAGGCUUGAAGAGGAGUUACAAGGAGCUGAAAAGUCUGUUCCAGCGAAGCUUGAGCGCCUAGGCGCUGGGAAUUGGCGCCUAGGCGCUAGUGCAAUUUCCUGAAGCUUUUGGAAUUGGCGCCUAGGCGCUGGGAAUUGGCGCCUAGGCGCCAGACACCUCCAGAGAGCAUGUUUAUGGGCUGGAAUUGGCGCUCAGGCGCUCUGAAUUGGCGCCUGAGCGUCCAGACUCGCAUGUUUUACCUAUUAAUUGGUUUUUAGACAUUUCUCUUGGAACCUUUUGUCAUUUUAUCAUAUUUUCAUAAGUUAGAAGAGAGGGUUUGAGUUCUGGAGCUUGAGGAGCUUUCUCUAAGCCCUAUGUUUCAGGUUUCAUCUUUAUCUUCUUGUAUGGAUUUCAUAGCCAUGUUUGGCUAAAACCCCUUUUGCUUUGGGUUCUUUGUAAGACUUAUGAUGUUUUAAUCUUAAUUCCUAUUUCUAUUCA